CCUCCACGUGGUAAGACCUGGGUCGGUAUUACUUGCAAUAUAUCGAAAUCUUAUGUGAUGCAAGUAGUACCGGGCGAAUGGCUGCUUAUUUCAUUUCACGUUUGCAAAAUAUUUUCUUUUUCAUUAUAUUUCAAUAUAUUGUACGUAAAUUAUAUAUUGCUAAUCGUAUUUGAAUAAAUAGUUGUACAGUAUGAUAGAACGAUUUAUUCGUAGAGAAAUUUGUGAUAUUUUCAAAGAAUAAUACUUUAUGAAUCUCCAUCGCUUUCAGAAGAUACUAUUUUAUUUAUAAAUGUAUAUCAAGGUUUAAGACGGACGAUAAUUUUUUUAGUACGUUCGUUCCAAAAAAUAUAUCGAUUCCAAUACGAUUUUAGGACGAGUCUUUUUCAAGUCAAGUUUUAAAAAAUUCUAAAUACGUCGUCUCGUCGUUCGAUUUUUUUAUCUUUCGAAUGAAUUAUUGUUGGCAAAAAUCUGUUAAAAAUUACGAGCAAAAAAAUUUCUAUCGUAUAUCCUUGAAAAAUUACAUUGCUACGUAGUACUUCGCUUCUCUCGUGGAAUCGCUUACAAAGCAAAAAAAGACACGGAUUUAUUUUCUUACGUCUCAACACAUUAAAACUAUACGUACACGUGUAUAAAUGCCAUAGUUGAUGAUAUAUUUCGUCUGACCGACACGAACGACAAAGAGGCGCUGAUGUGCCACCAUUAUUUUCCACAAAAACGAUUACGUGCUACUAACCUUACGUAAUACAUUUUCUUCGACGGAAUAUUUUAGACUUUUUAUCAAGAAAAUAAAAUAUUUGCAAGACUCGUAAUUCAAUAUAAAAGAUGAUUCUCUUUCUGAAUUUUGUCUAAAUAAAAGUUCCUUUCCUAAAAACGUUUUUCUUGAAAGUAAUCCCUAUUGAGAAAGAUGCGAUAAAAAAAAAAAGAAAAAAAUUUAUUUUAGAAAUUUUUCAAAUCAUCUCUAUGAACAUUUUUUAACUACUCCUUCCAUCUUCAAAGAGAAACAUAGCGGCAUGCAGAUUUGAAGAACUAUACGUUCUUACGUAGACACGAGUUCAAAAAUAUUUAUGUAUUAAGUAACACAAUCCUUUCGUUCACAGGUACCUACCAAGAAGACAGAUAAUGUACGACAAUACGAUACGUACAAUUAGUCGAUGUAAAAAAAAACAGUAUCGUUUAGUACCUUGUAAGUCUGAUAGUUUGGAAUUAGUAAUAAUACUUUAUUAUAAUUAUAAUUAUAAUCGUCGUCCAUCUGUAACGAAUAUUAACAUUCUCUCUCUCUCUCUCUCUCUCUCUCUCUCUCUCUCUCUCUCUCUUCUUUUCCGUUUCUCGUCGAAAAAAAAUUUUCCCAGAAUUCAUAGCUGUAACAAUUCUCGCUAAUAUCUAUCUUCCUUUUUUACGAGAAGUAUAUCUCUUAUAAUAUCUCUUGAGAAAUGCUAUUGGCUCAUAUUUAAUAAGAACCAACGCGAUUGGCCGAUAUCGUUUGCGCCUCCUACUGCUAAUCCAUUCUACGCGCUUAUUGGCUGCUGGAUAUUACCAUCUCUUUUCGACGAUAUAGCGAACCUCGGAAGGAUCAAAAAUCGAUAAUUCUUCUUCGCGUAAGCGUGAACUGCUACGAAAUGUGAUCGUUCGGUGUGCUCAAAGUGAUUAAUAGUUUGUAUCGGUCAUAUCAGGGAAGCCGAAAACUAUUUAUUCUUUUUAUUUGUGUUCGUAAAAAAAAUUGGUAAUCGUCGGGAUGACGCGAUAGAAAAAAUCGAGUUACUUAUCUCUAUAUAUAUGGAUAUACAUGUGUGCUUGCGUGUGUGUGUUUUUUUUCUAAUUUAAUGAGUUAUCAUGAAAUAAUUGUGGACAUAAUCUUUCCGCUAUGAAAAUACCUCCGGAAUAUCGUCGAAGAAGGAGAAGGAAACCAUUUGCGAAGAAGAAUGUCGGCGCGAAGGAAAAGAAGAAAAUUAUUAAAAAAAUUACGAUCGACGAACCACUUCCGGAAUCAAAUUCUACCUCAAUGUUUAAUUUAUCAUCGACGUCGGUACCGUUGCAGACGAUCGCCGUAGCGAAAGAAAAAGAUAUAAAAAGUUCUGAAACGAUCGAUAUACAAAUGCCGGAAUUAGAUUUUUCGUUUUUAAAAUUAUCACCUAUACCAAUAGUUUUGCCAGUGGAACCAAUCGACGUACACUCUACGGAUAAUAUAUUGGAAACGACGGAAGAUCUUUUGCGAUUGUUUUUUGGACCAACAGCGCUUCUAUGAAUCAUUUCGGUUAGGCGCGUGAAUCAAUCUGGUAAAUCGAUCUCAUCGAUCGCAUAUGAAGAAAGCAGGGACAUACCGGCGACCUCUUUUUUUUCUCGAGGUCAUAUCGAAUAUCGAAACUUUUGAUUAUAGAAGGCCAUUUCCGUCGAAUGAGAAGUUUCUGUAUUUGUAUCUCGUUAUUAUUAUAUCAUCGUAAUAUAUUAUAGUUUCUAACGCCUUCGAUAACUAACAUGUACGUCUUUUUUUGCGCGCGUAUGUGUGAGUGUAUAAAGGAAUAUAUCGUUCUUUCUUUCUA